rnacentral:rRNA from 1 species
AUUGGAAGUAAAAGUCGUAACAAGGUUUCCGUAGGUGAACCUGCGGAAGGAUCAUUAAAGAGACGUUGCCCUUCGGGGUAUACCUCCCACCCUUUGUUUAUUAUACCUUUGUUGCUUUGGCGGGCCCGUCCUCGGACCACCGGCUUCGGCUGGUCAGCGCCCGCCAGAGGACCUAAAACUCUGUUUGUUCAUAUUGUCUGAGUACUAUAUAAUAGUUAAAACUUUCAACAACGGAUCUCUUGGUUCUGGCAUCGAUGAAGAACGCAGCGAAAUGCGAUAAGUAAUGUGAAUUGCAGAAUUCAGUGAAUCAUCGAAUCUUUGAACGCACAUUGCGCCCCCUGGUAUUCCGGGGGGCAUGCCUGUUCGAGCGUCAUUACAACCCUCAAGCUCUGCUUGGUAUUGGGCUCUGCCGGUCCCGGCAGGCCUUAAAAUCAGUGGCGGUGCCAUUCGGCUUCAAGCGUAGUAAUUCUUCUCGCUUUGGAGACCCGGGUGCGUGCUUGCCAGCAACCCCCAAUUUUUUCAGGUUGACCUCGGAUCAGGUAGGGAUACCCGCUGAACUUAAGCAUAUCAAUAAGCGGAGGA